rnacentral:rRNA from 1 species
AGCCCAAACCAGCUGACUUCGGUCAACUGGGGUUGAGGACUGACAUAAUUUAAAAAUGGUCUAACUGAAUGACUUGGGAAAGUCAAGCAUAGAAGGUGAAACUCCUGUAAGUGAAAGACUGCAUUUAAAGGUCAGAAUCCAGAGUACCACGAGACACGAGGAACCUUGUGGGAAGCAGGGGGGACCACCCUCCAAGGCAAAAUACUCCUUGGCGACCGAUAGCGUAUAGUACCGUGAGGGAAAGGUGAAAAGAACCCCGGGAGGGGAGUGAAAAGAACCUGAAACCGUAUGUCUACAAGCAGUUGAAGCACUAUAAAUGUGCGACAGCGUGCCUAUUGAAGAAUGAACCGGCGAGUUACAGUAUCUAGCGAGGUUAAGUGGAAAACACGGAGCCGAAGCGAAAGCGAGUCUUAAUAGGGCGAAAGUUAGAUAUUGUAGACCCGAAACCGCAGUGAUCUAUCCAUGACCAGGUUGAAGCUCAGGUAAAAUUGAGUGGAGGACCGAACCCGUGAACGUUGAAAAGUUUUGGGAUGAGUUGUGGAUAGGGGUGAAAUGCCAAUCGAACGCGGAGAUAGCUGGUUCUCCCCGAAAUAGCUUUAGGGCUAGCCUCAAGGUAAAAAGUAUAGACGGUAGAGCUCUGAUCGGGCUAGGGGGCGUAAAGCUUACCGAACCCAGUCAAACUGCGAAUGGCUAUACUUGUACUUGGGAGUCAGACUGCGAGUGAUAAGACCCGUAGUCAAAAGGGAAACAGCCCAGAACGCCGACUAAGGUCCCCAAUGCUGUGCUAAGUGGCAAAGGAUGUAAAGCUUCACAAACAACCAGGAUGUUGGCUCAGAAGCAGCCACCAUUUAAAGAGUGCGUAAUAGCUCACUGGUCGAGAGGCUUUGCGCCGAAAAUGUCCGGGGCUAAAGCACAGAACCGAAGUCGCGUCAGCAUACUAAGUAUGUUGGGUAGGGGAGCGUUCUAUACACGACGAAGGUAUACCGAAAGGAGUGCUGGAGAGUAUAGAAGUGAGAAUGCCGGUAUGAGUAGCGAAAAGGAAGGUAAGAAUCCUUCCCACCGAAAGCCUAAGGUUUCCUGAGCAACGAUCGUCGACUCAGGGUAAGUCGGGACCUAAGCCGAGGCAAAGAGCGUAGGCGAUGGACAACAGGUAAAGAUUCCUGUACCACCGAUAAUUGUUUGAGCAAUGGAGUGACGCAGAAGGAAGGUUAAGCGGGCAGAUGGAAACGCCUGUCUAAGCUGGUAGGGUGAGAUGUAGGCAAAUCCGCAUCUUAAAAACCUGAGAAGUGACGGAAAGAUGUAAGCAAUUACAUUGAAUUUAACUGGACCACGCUGCCAAGAAAAGCUUCUAGUGAGAUUAAAGGUGCCCGUACCGCAAACCGACACAGGUAGGCGGGGAGAGAAUCCUAAGGUGCGCGGGAAAACCCUCGUUAAGGAACUCGGCAAAAUGUAUCCGUAACUUCGGGAAAAGGAUAGCCAUUUUUGGUGAAGCUACAAGCUAGCAGAGCUGAAGAAGGCGACAGAAGAGAGGCCCAAGCGACUGUUUACCACAAACACAGGUGCAUGCGAAAGAGAAAUCUGAAGUAUAUGUGCUGACACCUGCCCGGUGCUGGAAGGUUAAGAGGAGGGUUUAGAAGUAAUUCGAAGAUCUGAAUUGAAGCCCCAGUAAACGGCGGCCGUAACUAUAACGGUCCUAAGGUAGCGAAAUUCCUUGUCGGGUAAGUUCCGACCCGCACGAAAGGUGUAACGACUUGGGCACUGUCUCAACGAGGGACCCGGUGAAAUUGAAAUACCUGUGAAGAUGCAGGUUACCCGCGACUGGACAGAAAGACCCCAUGGAGCUUUACUGCAACCUGACAUUGGUUUUUGGUAAAUAAUGUACAGGAUAGGUGGGAGACUGAGAAUAUGGUACGCUAGUAUCAUAGGAGUCAAUGUUGGGAUACCACCCUUUAUUUACUGAAAAUCUAACUGAAUGAAUAACAAACAUCAAGACAGUGUCAGGCGGGCAGUUUGACUGGGGCGGUCGCCUCCGAAAGAGUAACGGAGGCGCCCAAAGGUUCCCUCAGCGCGGCAAGAAAUCGCGCGAAGAGUGUAAAGGCAGAAGGGAGCUUGACUGCGAGACGGACAGGUCGAGCAGGUACGAAAGUAGGGCUUAGUGAUCCGGUGGUACCGAGUGGAAGGGCCAUCGCUCAACGGAUAAAAGCUACCCUGG